AUUUUAUAUUUUAAUUUUUGAAUGAUUAUUCUACACUAUAUUAGAUAUAAAUAUAUAUUUACUUUAUAAUUUAUUUAAUUAAAUAAUCGAAUCCAAAUCAAAUGGGAAAUUCACACACGUUUCAACUAUUGAGUGUUGGAGAAGAGGCGUUUUCACGUAGUCGCGUUUCUUGAUAUCCUAAAUAGUAAAUCCGUUCACAUCCACAAUUCUCGGUCUGAUCCACCGCCGCCGCUAAUCUCCGCCGCCUAAACUACAGUGAAGUCACGCCAUCGAUUAAGGGAUGUGAUCUUACUCCAACAGUCAGUUAAUUAUUAGUCGGCUUGUUUUGAGCAGAAGAAAUGGCUUCAGUAAUCUCUUUUCCUGCAGCUCUGUCAUGUGUUUCUACAGAUACAAUUCCCAAAUUAUCCACUGCAAAAUCCCUCUCAAUCAGCAGAUGCUCUAAUCUGAUUGGCUCCUUCACAGUAUUGGAUGCAGAAUCCGCCUUUCUCGCGAAGAUACUGAGAAAAUUGAAGCCUUAUGGUAUUUCCACUGUUCACUUUUUCCAACAGAAAAAGCCUUUGGUUGUUUGCCUCUCCUGUUUUGUUGCUAGGGCUUAUAUUGGGGGUGAUUCUGAGUAUGUUGAUGAUGAUGAUGAUAAUGGCAAGUACACGAAUGAGGAUACAGAUGAGUCGAGUCCGGAUGACAGCUUUGAGAUAGAAAUAGUAAAGACUGGCAACAACAGCCGGAGAAUUAGAUCGAAAGUAAGGGUGCAAGCUAGCCUACAAGCAGUUUGGGAUAUAUUGACUGAUUAUGAAAGCUUAGCAGAUUUCAUUCCUGGCCUGGCAGUCAGCAAGUUGCUUGAGAAGAGAGAUAAUUUCGCUCGUCUGUUUCAGAUUGGACAGCAGAAUUUAGCUUUUGGGUUAAAAUUUGAUGCAAAAGGUACUAUUGACUGUGUUGAGAAAGAUCUUGAAAUUCUUCCCUUUGGGCAAAGGCGUGAUAUUGAGUUCAAGAUGGUUGAAGGUGAUUUCCAACUCUUUGAAGGAAAGUGGUCUGUUGAACAGGAGGUGAAGUCUAUUGCUGGAGAUUUGCGAAGUGUUUCUGUAGAUGAUGUAGAAUAUCAAACAACGCUUGUAUAUGUCGUUGAUGUGAAACCUAAGGUGUGGUUGCCUGUGCGCCUUGUAGAGGGUAGACUCUGCACGGAGAUAAGAACAAACCUGUCAUGCAUACGGGAAGAAGCUGAGAAAGCAUUUCAGAAUGCUAAUUCUGUUAUUGUAGAAGAAUGACAUUUCCGGUGUUUCUGUCUGGUAGGAAUCAAUAAUUUGAGAAAUUGACGAUGCCUCGGUCAUCAAGUUUGUUCCCAAAUAGCUCCAACAUCAGAUGCAGAGUUGGAUCAUUGCAAAGAAUAAGGGCACGGGUUCGUUGUUCCCAUUUUGCUUCGACUAGUAAGGGUUUCGAUGGAGCUCUGUACAGAAGAAGAAUGCAUUCCUGAUCUCUCUUGGCAAACUGCAUUGCUUGCCCCAAUUUGACUGUGUUAAUAUAUAGAAGAAUUCCUUGAUACACCCCUCAAAAUUGUAUCUUUAUCAAUUAUUGUAUCCCUUCAAUCCACAUUUUGAUCUAUGUUAGAAUUUGUGCUGUUUCAACCUUCAUAAGUCAUAACAAUGAGGAAAUGAGAUUUUAUGUAUUUACUAGAGAA